rnacentral:rRNA from 1 species
UACGGAGGGGGCUAGCGUUGUUCGGAAUUACUGGGCGUAAAGCGCACGUAGGCGGCUUUGUAAGUUAGAGGUGAAAGCCCAGGGCUCAACCCUGGAAUUGCCUUUAAGACUGCAUCGCUUGAACAUCGGAGAGGUAAGUGGAAUUCCGAGUGUAGAGGUGAAAUUCGUAGAUAUUUGGAAGAACACCAGUGGCGAAGGCGACUUACUGGACGAUUGUUGACGCUGAGGUGCGAAAGCGUGGGGAGCAAACAGG